rnacentral:misc_RNA from 1 species
GAUGAGAACGCAGCGAAAUGCGAUAAGUAAUGUGAAUUGCAGAAUUCAGUGAAUCAUCGAAUCUUUGAACGCACAUUGCGCCCGCCAGUAUUCUGGCGGGCAUGCCUGUUCGAGCGUCAUUACAACCCUCAGGCCCCCGGGCCUGGCGUUGGGGAUCGGCGGAGCGCCCCCUGCGGGCACACGCCGUCCCCCAAAUACAGUGGCGGUCCCGCCGCAGCUUCCAUUGCGUAGUAGCUAACACCUCGCAACUGGAGAGCGGCGCGGCCACGCCGUAAAACACCCAACUUCUGAAUGUUGACCUCGAAUCAGGUAGGAAUACCCGCUGAACUUAAGCAUAUCAAUAAGCGGAGGA